GAUGUAUGCUGCAUCUCGCCUACAUGAAGUCGGAAUUGCUAGUAAUCGCGGAUCAGUUUGCCGCGGUGAAUACGUUCCCGGGCCUUGUACACACCGCCCGUCACACCACGAGAGUUUGUAACACCCGAAGUCGGUGAGGUAACCUUUUGGAGCCCUCGCCUAAGGGGGGAUUGAUGAUUUGGGUGAAGUCCUAACCAGGUAACCGUA
rnacentral:rRNA from 1 species